UACAGAGGGUGCAAGCGUUAAUCGGAAUUACUGGGCGUAAAGGGAGCGUAGGUGGCUCUAUAAGUCAGAUGUGAAAUCCCCGGGCUUAACCUGGGAACUGCAUCUGAAACUGUAGAGCUAGAGUAUGUGAGAGGAAGGUAGAAUUCCAGGUGUAGCGGUGAAAUGCGUAGAGAUCUGGAGGAAUACCGAUGGCGAAGGCAGCCUUCUGGCAUAAUACUGACACUGAGGCUCGAAAGCGUGGGUAGCAAA
rnacentral:rRNA from 1 species